AGUGAACGCUGGCGGUAGGCCUAACACAUGCAAGUCGAACGGCAGCACCGUAAGAGCUUGCUCUUACGGGUGGCGAGUGGCGGACGGGUGAGGAAUACAUCGGAAUCUACUUUUUCGUGGGGGAUAACGUAGGGAAACUUACGCUAAUACAGCAUACGACCUACGGGUGAAAGCAGGGGAUCUUCGGACUUUGCGCGAUUGAAUGAGCCGAUGUCGGAUUAGCUAGUUGGCGGGGUAAAGGCCCACGUAGGCGACGAUCCGUAGCUGGUCUGAGAGGAUGAUCAGCUACACUGGAACUGAGACACGGUCCAGACUCCUACAGUAAGAAGCAGUGGAGAAUAUUGGACGAUGGGCGCAAGCCUGAUCCAGCCAUACCGCGUGGGUGAAGAAGGCCUUCGGGUUGUUGAGCCCUUUUGUUGUGAAAGAAGAGCAGCAGGUUAAUACCCCGCUGUUAUGACGGUACCCAAAGAAUAAGCACCGGCUAACUUCGUG
rnacentral:rRNA from 1 species